rnacentral:rRNA from 1 species
AUUGAACGCUGGCGGCAGGCCUAACACAUGCAAGUCGAGCGGAUGAAGGGAGCUUGCUCCUGGAUUCAGCGGCGGACGGGUGAGUAAUGCCUAGGAAUCUGCCUGGUAGUGGGGGAUAACGUCCGGAAACGGGCGCUAAUACCGCAUACGUCCUGAGGGAGAAAGUGGGGGGUCUUCGGACCUCACGCUAUCAGAUGAGCCUAGGUCGGAUUAGCUAGUUGGUGGGGUAAAGGCCUACCAAGGCGACGAUCCGUAACUGGUCUGAGAGGAGGAUCAGUCACACUGGAACUGAGACACGGUCCAGACUCCUACGGGAGGCAGCAGUGGGGAAUAUUGGACAAUGGGCGAAAGCCUGAUCCAGCCAUGCCGCGUGUGUGAAGAAGGUCUUCGGAGUGUAAAGCACUUUAAGUUGGGAGGAAGGGCAGUAAGUUAAUACCUUGCUGUUGUGACGUUACCAACAGAAUAAGCACCGGCUAACUUCGUG